rnacentral:rRNA from 1 species
UAUGUGAUCGUCUCUCGCAUAUCAAUAAGCGGAGGAAAAGAAACUAACAAGGAUUCCCCUAGUAACGGCGAGUGAAGCGGGAAGAGCUCAAAUUUGAAAUCUUAAAGGGUUUCCCUUUACGAAUUGUAGUUUAAAGAAGUGUUUUCUGUUGAGGUUUUGGUAAAAGUUCUUUGGAAUAGGACAUCAUAGAGGGUGAGAAUCCCGUAUUUGACCUUUACUUUCAACUUUGUGAUACACUUUCAAAGAGUCGGAUUGUUUGGGAAUGCAGUCCAAAAUGGGUGGUAAAUUUCAUCUAAAGCUAAAUAUUGGCGAGAGACCGAUAGCGAACAAGUACCGUGAGGGAAAGAUGAAAAGAACUUUGAAAAGAGAGUUAAACAGUACGUGAAAUUGUCAAAAGGGAAGCGUUUGACACCAGUGUUGUUUUUCUGAAAAUCAAUUAAAGAACUGUUUAUGCUAAGCUGUUUAGACUUUAUCAGCUAUCUGUUUAGUUUUGAGCUUUUCUUUAAUGCACUUUUCAGUUAACAAGUCAACAUCAAUUUCUUUUGCUGUAAAAAAGCUUGAGGAAGGUGGCUUGAGGUUCGUCUUAAGUGUUUAUAGCCUCUUGCCUAUGCAGUCGGAGAGAUUGAGGUCUGCAGCGUAGAUCCUUCGGGGCUAAAUGCAUUUGUGCUAAGUUAUAGCAUUUUAUAGACAACAUGUUGACUAUGAUUUGUCUUGUAGCUUACUCGCUUAUGUUAUUUUACCUACGCUUAGGAUGUUGAUAUCGCGCUCUCACUG